AAGUGAUAUAAAAAAGAUAUAAAGUGUUUAGUUGACUUGGUAAUUUACAGUAGUUGACCUGAAUAAUUGUUCAUAUUUUGCGCAAAUAGAUUCCUCCUAUGUUUCAUAAAGCCAUAUAAGCAUCAAUGUGUUUUGGUUGUACAGCGUGCAGCUAUUCAGUCUACUAUCAUUCUUUAUUCCGUUUUUAGGAUUGGCCUUUAACGUCUAUUUUUAUUUCCUAUAUUUAAAAUACAUUUACUGACUUUAGUCAGAAAAAUAGGGUAAUCUAAACCGCUAAAGUGAAAAGAUGUCAAACUCCAGGUCUUGAAGGCCAAUGUCUGAAAUAUUUUCCAACUAACCUGCCAUUUAAGCUUCCCAUAAGUAAAACUCACCUGUACCAAGUAAUCACCAGCAGAUACGUUUUGGAAAAAAACAGCAGAAGGCCAGCCCUUGAGAAAUCUGACAUUAGCAGGAUCAGUUUAAGGCCUCCCCCAGUUUCCCCUGUCUGUGUUUUUUAAUUACAUAGAAGGAUAAAGAUGUAGUUGGUUCCCUUUUGCCCACUGGCCUGCUGACUUCCUCAUAGGGCUUUGUGCCUGUCAUCACGUGUUAUUCUCAGCUGGUUGUGGUCCUGGAGUAAAUCGUCCCACGGAUGAGAGCACAUCUACGCCGUCAUCUCGUUCACUGUCUGUCUCUGUUUCUAUUACUUUUUCCUUCUCCCAGUCCAUGAUGUGAUUAUUUACUUUGCAGUGUUCUGAUAUUGCCGUUUCAAGGUUUUGUCACUUUUCCCUUUUUUUUUCUUCGAUAUCCUUCUCUGAUUAGCUUUUUUUUUUAUGUCUCCAACUUAACCCGCUCUUCUCCAAAAACCAGAAAGAAGUGGCCUCUAUACAUAUUAACCCAUCCCAAACAGAGAGUGACAGAAUCUUCUGAGGAUGACUGCAGGCCAACAUUUCAAACAUGUCAAGGUAUCCGUGGCCUGAUCCUGCCAUCAUGUGCGGAUUUGACUAUAAAACUCCAGAUCCUGAAGAAAUUCCUGCUGCUUAGAUGUUUCGUUUGGUUCAAUGUCAAGUUCACCAGCCGGCUGCGGAGGUAUAGUGUACUGUCACUGCACACUCUCUGUGGGUCAAGGUCACAAUGCCUAAAGCUACGUUAGUUUACAUGAGUGAUUACAUUUAUCAAAGGAUGUCAAAAAGCGCCAGCAGAGGGAAAUCAAAUGACCAUCUUGUACCAAGAACAUUUAAAUGAGUCCACUGGCCCUCCAGGGUGGGGAUUUGGCACAGGGCUAACCACCUGGUCCUAGAAAACUAAGAUGGUUAUGCAAACAGCAAACAGCUAACCCCUCUAACGUGCAAUAGACCUACAGAGUCCCAACAAGAGGCUUUUAUGAAGGACACAGGUGAAAGCAGGACCUUGGAAGCCAGCGACAGGAAGAUGGAAGUAUUGAGCACCAAAACCAGAUUAGGAUUAAGGAAUGUGCGCUAGAAAAGAGAAAAAAAAAAAAAAAAAAAGAGGACGGCCGAAGAUCACCUGGCGCCAAACAGUUGGAACAGAGCUGAAAGAAUUUGGACAAACCUGGGGAACCAUCUACACCUUGGCCCGUGACCGUCAGAAAUGGAAAGAUUUUGUUGCUGCCCUAAGUGCUAAGUGUCUCAAGGCGUAAAAGGCAGUAAGAAGAACUUCAAUGGGUAAGAGACUUAAGUACAAUUGCCCCACAGCCGGCAAAUCAGUGUUAUGGAUGACGCUAAAAA